GAUGAACGCUGGCGGCGUGCCUAAUACAUGCAAGUCGAGCGAACAGACGAGGAGCUUGCUCCUCUGACGUUAGCGGCGGACGGGUGAGUAACACGUGGAUAACCUACCUAUAAGACUGGGAUAACUUCGGGAAACCGGAGCUAAUACCGGAUAAUAUAUUGAACCGCAUGGUUCAAUAGUGAAAGACGGUUUUGCUGUCACUUAUAGAUGGAUCCGCGCCGCAUUAGCUAGUUGGUAAGGUAACGGCUUACCAAGGCGACGAUGCGUAGCCGACCUGAGAGGGUGAUCGGCCACACUGGAACUGAGACACGGUCCAGACUCCUACGGGAGGCAGCAGUAGGGAAUCUUCCGCAAUGGGCGAAAGCCUGACGGAGCAACGCCGCGUGAGUGAUGAAGGUCUUCGGAUCGUAAAACUCUGUUAUUAGGGAAGAACAAAUGUGUAAGUAACGAUGCACGUCUUGACGGUACCUAUCAGAAAGCCACGGCUAACUACGUG
rnacentral:rRNA from 1 species